UACGGAGGGUGCAAGCGUUAUCCGGAUUCACUGGGUUUAAAGGGUGCGUAGGUGGGCAAGUAAGACAGGUGUGAAAUCCCCGGGCUUAACCUGGGAACUGCGCUUGUUACUGGCAGGCUUGAGUGUGGCAGAGGGGGGUGGAAUUCCACGUGUAGCAGUGAAAUGCGUAGAGAUGUGGAGGAACACCGAUGGCGAAGGCAGCCCCCUGGGCUAACACUGACGCUCAUGCACGAAAGCGUGGGGAGCAAACAGG
rnacentral:rRNA from 1 species